rnacentral:rRNA from 1 species
ACAUGCAAGUCGAGGGGCAGCGGGAUUGAAGCUUGCUUCAAUUGCCGGCGACCGGCGCACGGGUGAGUAACGCGUAUCCAACCUUCCGUACACUCAGGGAUAGCCUUUCGAAAGAAAGAUUAAUACCUGAUGGUAUGAUGAGAUUGCAUGAUAGCAUCAUUAAAGAUUCAUCGGUGUACGAUGGGGAUGCGUUCCAUUAGGUAGUAGGCGGGGUAACGGCCCACCUAGCCUACGAUGGAUAGGGGUUCUGAGAGGAAGGUCCCCCACAUUGGAACUGAGACACGGUCCGAACUCCUACGGGAGGCAGCAGUGAGGAAUAUUGGUCAAUGGACGAGAGUCUGAACCAGCCAAGUAGCGUGAAGGAUGAAGGUCCUACGGAUUGUAAACUUCUUUUAUAAGGGAAUAAAACCUCCCACGUGUGGGAGCUUGUAUGUACCUUAUGAAUAAGCAUCGGCUAACUCCGUGCCAGCAGCCGCGGUAAUACGGAGGAUGCGAGCGUUAUCCGGAUUUAUUGGGUUUAAAGGGAGCGCAGACGGGUCGUUAAGUCAGCUGUGAAAGUUUGGGGCUCAACCUUAAAAUUGCAGUUGAUACUGGCGUCCUUGAGUGCGGUUGAGGUGUGCGGAAUUCGUGGUGUAGCG